AACGAACGCUGGCGGCGCGCCUAAUACAUGCAAGUCGAGCGAGAAGACGUAGCAAUACGUUUGUAAAGCGGCGAACGGGUGAGGAAUACAUGGGUAACCUACCCUCGAGUGGGGAAUAACUAGCCGAAAGGUUAGCUAAUACCGCGUACGCUCCUUGGACUUCGGUUCAGGGAGGAAAGCGAUACCGUGGGUAUCGCGCUCUUGGAUGGGCUCAUGUCCUAUCAGCUUGUUGGUGAGGUAACGGCUCACCAAGGCUUCGACGGGUAGCUGGUCUGAGAGGACGAUCAGCCACACUGGCACUGCGACACGGGCCAGACUCCUACGGGAGGCAGCAGUAAGGAAUAUUGCGCAAUGGGCGAAAGCCUGACGCAGCGACGCCGCGUGGGGGAUGAAGGUCUUCGGAUUGUAAAGUUCUUUCGCCCGUGACGAUGAUGACGGUAACGGGAGAAGAAGCCCGGC
rnacentral:rRNA from 1 species